rnacentral:rRNA from 1 species
UACGUAGGGUGCGAGCGUUGUCCGGAUUUAUUGGGCGUAAAGAGCGUGUAGGCGGCCAGGUAGGUCCGUUGUGAAAACUGGAGGCUCAACCUCCAGCGGUCGAUGGAGACCAUCUGGCUAGAGUCCGGAAGAGGAGAGUGGAAUUCCUGGUGUAGCGGUGAAAUGCGCAGAUAUCAGGAGGAACACCAAUGGCGAAGGCAGCUCGCUGGGACGGUACUGACGCUGAGACGCGAAAGCGUGGGGAGCAAACAGG